UACGUAGGUGGCGAGCGUUGUCCGGAUUUACUGGGCGUAAAGGGAGCGUAGGCGGACUUUUAAGUGAGAUGUGAAAUACCCGGGCUCAACUUGGGUGCUGCAUUUCAAACUGGAAGUCUAGAGUGCAGGAGAGGAGAAUGGAAUUCCUAGUGUAGCGGUGAAAUGCGUAGAGAUUAGGAAGAACACCAGUGGCGAAGGCGAUUCUCUGGACUGUAACUGACGCUGAGGCUCGAAAGCGUGGGGAGCAAACAGGAUUAGAUACCCCGGUAGUCCCU
rnacentral:rRNA from 1 species